rnacentral:tRNA from 1 species
GUCAGAAUGGCCGAGUGGUCUAAGGCGCCAGACUCAAGUUCUUGUCUCCAGAUGGAGGCGUGGGUUCAAAUCCCACUUCUGACA